rnacentral:rRNA from 1 species
GACGAACGCUGGCGGCGUGCCUAAUACAUGCACGUAGCACGCAGUUGCGAACGGGUGAGUAAUGCGUAGGUAAACUGCCUCAUAGCGGGGGAUAAAUAUUGGAACCGAUAGCUAAUACCGCAUACUGUGAGAUGGACCUGCGUGGUAUUAGCUAGUUGACGGGGUAAAGGCUCACCAAGGCGACGAUACAUAGCCGACCUGAGAGGGUGUUCGGCCACACUGGGACUGAGACACGGCCCAGACUCCUACGGGAGGCAGCAGUAGGGACUUUUCGGCAAUGGACGAAAGUCUGACCGAGCAACGCCGCGUGAGUGAAGAAGGUUUUCGGAUCGUAAAACUCUGUUGUUAGAGAAGCGGUAUCUAACCAGAAAGCCACGGCUAACUACGUGCCAGCCGCCGCGGUAAUAC